rnacentral:rRNA from 1 species
AAUGGGCGCAAGCCUGAUCCAGCCAUGCCGCGUGAAGGAUUAAGGCCCUAUGGGUUGUAAACUUCUUUUAUACGGGACAAAACCCCUCUACGUGUAGAGGGUUGAUGGUACUGUAAGAAUAAGCAUCGGCUAACUUCGUGCCAGCAGCCGCGGUAAUACGAAGGAUGCAAGCGUUAUCCGGAAUUAUUGGGUUUAAAGGGUGCGUAGGCGGACUUAUAAGUCAGUGGUGAAAGCCUGUUGCUUAACAACAGAACUGCCAUUGAUACUGUUAGUCUUGAGUACAGUUGAGGUAGGCGGAAUGUGUCAUGUAGCGGUGAAAUGCUUAGAUAUGACACAGAACACCGAUUGCGAAGGCAGCUUGCUAAGCUGUAACUGACGCUGAUGCACGAAAGCGUGGGUAGCAAA